CAGUCGCCACGGUAAUACGUAGGUGGCAAGCGUUGUCCGGAAUUAUUGGGCGUAAAGGGCCCGCAGGCGGUUUCUUAAGUCUGAUGUGAGAGCCCCCGGCUCAACCGGGGAGGGUCAUUGGAAACUGGGAAACUUGGGUGCAGAGGAGGAGAGUGGAAUUUCACGUGUAGCGGUGAAAUGCGUAGAGAUGUGGAGGAACACCAGUGGCGAAGGCGACUCUCUGGUCUGUAACUGACGCUGAGGAGCGAAAGCGUGGGGAGCGAACAGGAUUAGAGACCCCAGUAGUCCCUGUCUCUUAUAC
rnacentral:rRNA from 1 species